UACGUAGGGCGCAAGCGUUGUCCGGAAUUAUUGGGCGUAAAGAGCUCGUAGGCGGUUUGUCGCGUCUGCUGUGAAAACCUAAGGCUCAACCUUGGGCUUGCAGUGGGUACGGGCAGACUAGAGUGCGGUAGGGGGUGACUGGAAUUCCUGGUGUAGCGGUGGAAUGCGCAGAUAUCAGGAGGAACACCGAUGGCGAAGGCAGGUCUCUGGGCCACUACUGACGUGAGAAAGCGAAAAGCAUGGGGGAG
rnacentral:rRNA from 1 species